CAGCCGCCACGGUAAUACGGAGGGGGCUAGCGUUAUUCGGAAUUACUGGGCGUAAAGCGCACGUAGGCGGCUUCGCAAGUCAGAGGUGAAAGCCUGGGGCUCAACUCCAGAAUUGCCUUUGAGACUGCGUCGCUCGAAUCCGGGAGAGGUGAGUGGAAUUCCGAGUGUAGAGGUGAAAUUCGUAGAUAUUCGGAAGAACACCAGUGGCGAAGGCGGCUCACUGGACCGGCAUUGACGCUGAGGUGCGAAAGCGUGGGGAGCAAACAGGAUUAGAUACCCCUGUAGUCCCUGUCUCUUAUAC
rnacentral:rRNA from 1 species